rnacentral:misc_RNA from 1 species
GCAUUUGAUGAAACAAAACUCUGAUAUUGCUGUUUCUCUUUUUUUUUAUUAAUUUUUUUUUACGAAGUCUUGUUUGUUUGUCUGUUUUCUUUUAUCUGAAAUUUUAUUUGGAUGAGCAACCUUUAUGAUAUGUGCUUGCUUUUGUCAAAUUAUUUUGCACAAGUCAUAGUGAAAUGUCCAGAUACAUGUGACUCGUGAAAUGUAUGUGAGGAGAUUCAUGGAUUUAUUGGUGUAGUGACUUGAGAUGCAAUCAAAAUGCUUUCUGGAGAUAUGAGUUGAACUAUUCAGCAGUGUGGCUUUCUAAUUUAUGA